rnacentral:misc_RNA from 1 species
UCCGGUUUGUCACCGGCAGUCUCCCAUGAGUCCCCAACUUAAUGCUGGCAACAUGGGACGGGGGUUGCGCUCGUUGCGGGACUUAACCCAACAUCUCACGACACGAGCUGACGACAGCCAUGCACCACCUGUCACCCAGUCCGAAGAGGCCCCCAUCUCUGAGGGUUUCCGGGUGAUGUCAAACCCAGGUAAGGUGGGGAUGACGUUUACGUGCACUU